rnacentral:rRNA from 1 species
AGCAGUCGCGCGGUAAUACAGAGGGUGCGAGCGUUAAUCGGAUUUACUGGGCGUAAAGCGUGCGUAGGCGGCUUCUUAAGUCGGAUGUGAAAUCCCUGAGCUUAACUUAGGAAUUGCAUUCGAUACUGGGAAGCUAGAGUAUGGGAGAGGAUGGUAGAAUUCCAGGUGUAGCGGUGAAAUGCGUAGAGAUCUGGAGGAAUACCGAUGGCGAAGGCAGCCAUCUGGCCUAAUACUGACGCUGAGGUACGAAAGCAUGGGGAGCAAACAGGAUUAGAUACCCGGGUAGUCCCUGUCUCUUAUACC